rnacentral:lncRNA from 1 species
GCAAGGUAAUAUAUCUCUGUAAGAAGGCUUUCUUAUCUAAAUGGAAUGCGUUACACAGGACAUUUCAUUAGUUUCAUCCAACUAUUCCUCUCUCAAGUUCGCUUUACUACUGAAUUGAAGAAUCUGUCCAGAGAAGUAUCAUCUUGCAUUUUAGGAAGGGAAAGGUAAUUUGAAGUUGUCGGCCUGGAUUUAAUUCUGCAUCAACCUUACUAUGAUCUCCAGAAAUAGAGAUUUAGCUUAUAUUUUGUAUGAGUCUACCACUGGCCACAUCCUGCACAAUGUAAGUAACCUCUUCAAACUAGUUCUUUGGCGUUGUUUUUACUACCGUAGACAUAUCCAUAAAACAAAGGCUAAUUCUUCACANNNNNNNNNNNNNNNNNNNNUUUAUUGUGCGACUGUUCAGAGCUUGUGAAAUAUGUUUGUAAUUUGCAUUGGUUAUGAAGUGUUUUCAGAAAUGAUUACUUGUGGAUCCCAAGUGAGACAUUUUCUCUAACCCGUUUUCUCUUUUGUAGGUCCUAAGGGACCAUAGGAGGUUUCGGGGAGGCUGACCUUUACGGACGGACACCCAAGGGUGCCGCACGACUAAGGUAAAACCAGCUAAGUUUGUGACAGAUAGUAUCAGAGCGAGACAAACACUCAUAGAAACACUUGGCAUGUAAAUGUGGGGGAUCUAGCUGUUGAAUCUCGUAUUUUGAUAAUGAAACCAUUUGAUAUGUGUUUAUGUUUUAAUUUGUGUUUUGAGUAACGCAGGAUGCUUCGAUCAGGAUGAGACAAUUAAAGUAGAAAAAAUCAUGUUGUGCCGGAGAAACAUGUUAGAAGAUUGGAUGUUAGGCCGGUGGAUUGGUCGACGUAUCGAUAGAAGGCUUCGGGCCGUGGACUCGAGCAUUGGGCCAAGAAGAGCGGGUAUUGUGCCAAGGAUAUCGGAGUUGUGGAGUCAAUUGGCCGAUUGGGCAAUAGGUCGCAGGAGAGGACGAUGCGUCGAAGAAUCGGACGAAGCGUC